AUACGGAGGGUGCAAGCGUUAAUCGGAAUUACUGGGCGUAAAGCGCGCGUAGGCGGUUUGGUAAGUCGGAUGUGAAAGCCCCGGGCUCAACCUGGGAAUUGCAUUCGAUACUGUCAGGCUAGAGUAUGGUAGAGGGAAGCGGAAUUCCAGGUGUAGCGGUGAAAUGCGUAGAUAUCUGGAGGAACAUCAGUGGCGAAGGCGGCUUCCUGGACCGACACUGACGCUGAGGCGCGAAAGCGUGGGGAGCAAACAGGAUUAGAUACCCCAGUAGUCC
rnacentral:rRNA from 1 species